rnacentral:rRNA from 1 species
CCCAUCCCGAACACGGCCGUUAAGCCCUCCAGGGCCGAUGAUACUGCAACCGCGAGGUUGUGGGAAAGUAGGACGCUGCCGGAA